AUGGCUCAGGAUGAACGCUGGCGGCAUGCCUAAUACAUGCAAGUCGAACGGAAUCUUAUAUGUUCCUCGUUUCGGAUUUAGUUCCGAGUUGGGGAACAAUAAGAUUUAGUGGCGGACGGGUGAGUAACACGUUGGUACCUACCCUCUAAGUGGGGAAUAACUUCGAGAAAUCGAGGCUAAUACCGCAUAAUAUCUACGGAUUAAAGCAUUUAUGCGCUAGAGGAGGGGCCUGCGUCUGAUUAGCUUGUUGGUGAGGUAAAAAGCUCACCAAGGCGACGAUCAGUAGCUGGAUCGAGAGGUUGACCAGCCACACUGGGACUGAGAUACGGCCCAGACUCCUACGGGAGGCAGCAGUAAGGAAUCUUCCACAAUGGGCGAAAGCCUGAUGGAGCAAUGCCGCGUGCAGGAUGACGGCCUUCGGGUUGUAAACUGCUUUUAUAUGGGAAGAUUAUGACGGUACCAUAUGAAUAAGGACCGGCUAACUACGUG
rnacentral:rRNA from 1 species